rnacentral:rRNA from 1 species
UACGGAGGGGGCUAGCGUUGUUCGGAAUCACUGGGCGUAAAGCGCACGUAGGCGGAUUGUUAAGUCAGGGGUGAAAGCCUGGAGCUCAACUCCAGAACUGCCCUUGAUACUGGCAAUCUCGGGUCCGGAAGAGGUAAGUGGAACUCCGAGUGUAGAGGUGAAAUUCGUAGAUAUUCGGAAGAACACCAGUGGCGAAGGCGGCUUACUGGUCCGGUACUGACGCUGAGGUGCGAAAGCGUGGGGAGCAAACAGG